AUGGCCUGGUCCCCUCUUCUCCUCAUGCCUCUCUCUCAUUGCACAGGAUCCUGGGCCCAGUCUGUGCUGACUCAGCCACAAUCAGUGUCUGGGAACCUGGGCCAGAGGGUCUCCCUCUCCUGCACUGGAAGCAGCUCCAACAUUGGGACUUACAGUGUGGCCUGGCUCCAACAGCUCCCAGGAACAGCCCCCAAACUCCUGAUACAUGGUACCAGCAAUCGACCUGCGGGGGUCCCUGAUCGAUUCUCUGGCUCCAAGUCUGGCAGCUCAGCCACCCUGACCAGGGCUGGUCUCCAGCCUGACGACGAGGCUGAUUAUUACUGCCAGAGCUAUGACUACAGUCUCAGUGCCCCCCCCCUUGCUCCAGGCCUGUGGGAACGUGAAUGGUUGACAAUGCACCGAGAAUUUAAUCAAAAAACAUCACACUAUGUCCUCGGUUUUCCUGUGUAUCCCUGGAGGUUAGCCUUCCCCAGUCUUACCAUCUUGUUUACUCAGCCGGUGCCCAAGCCUAUCUUGAAGGAGGGGCUUGAUCCGGUUCCUGAGAGGGGAAGAUUUGCAUGGAGACCUCCCACCUGUGAAUAG